ensembl:lncRNA
CUCAGCUAUAUGCUGUGCUCAGUCAUAUCUGACUCUUUGUGGCCCGGUGGACUGUAGCCUGCCAGGCUGCUCUGCCCAUGGAAUUUUCCAGGCAAGAACACUGAAGAGGGCAUCCUUGCAUCUCCCAUGUUGACUUGUGGAUUCUUGACCACUAGCGCCACCUGGGAAGCCCAUCUAUAAACACAUCUUAUAGAAUAUGAAAACUAUCAAUAUCAUAGAGAUAAAGUCAGAAUGUAUUAGAGAUAAAGUCAGAAUGUAUCAGAGAUAAAAUCAGUUCCUUUGCCCAGCUACUCCUGUUGCAUAUUUCUUCCCAUAGUCCUCAGUUGUGCUAUCCAUCCUUCCUUUAGCAUUAUUAUUUUUAACAUAGGACAUGAAGAAUAUACAGCUGAGUAUUGACAACAUGGUUUGAACUGUGUGGAUCCACUCAUACUUGGAUCUGUUUCAAUAAAUAUUACAGUACCACAUAAUCUUCAGUUGAUUGAAUCUACAAAUGCAAAAUUGCAGAUACAUGGAGCAUAGAGUAUGGACUUGAGUGUUGGUAGAUUUCGAAUGUUGGUAGAUAUUGAUAGAGAGAAUGUACUAGUCAUAGCAAAUACCCUCUUCCAACAAUACAAGAGAUGACUCUACAGAUGGACAUCAAUAGACGGUCAAUACCUAUAUCAGAUUGAUUAUAUUAUUUGCAUCCAAAGAUGGACAAGCUUCAUACAGUCAGAAAAAAAAAGACAGGGAGCAGACUGUGGCUCAGAUAUUAAACUCUUAUUGCAAAAUUCAGAAUUAAAUUGAAGAAAGGAGGGAAAACGACUAGGCCAUUCAGGUAUGAACUAAAUCAACUCCCUUAUGAUUACACAAUGGAAGUGACAAAUAGAUUCAAGGGAUUAGAUCUGAUAGAUAGAGUGCUGAAGAAAUAUGGAAGGAAGUUUGUAACACUGUACAGGAGGCAGUGCUCAAAACAAUCCCGAACAAAAAAAAAAUGCAAAAAGGCAAAAUGGUUAUCUGAGAAGGGCUUACAAACAGCUGAGAAAAGAAGAGAAGCAAAAGGCAAAGGAGAAAAGGAAAGAUAUGCCCAUCUGAAUGCAGAGUUCCAAAGAAAAGCAAGGAGAGAUAAGAAAGCCUUCCUCAGUGAACAACUCAAAAAACAGAGGAAAGCAACACAAUGGGAAAUGCUAGAGAUCUAUUCAAGAAAAUUAGAGAUAGCAUUUCACUCUCCUCUUUCACUUUCAUCAAGAGGCUGUUUAAGAAAUGUUCAAGGGAACAUUCCAUGCAAAGAUGGACCCAAUAAAGGACAGAAACAGUAUGGACCUAACAGAAGUAAAAGAUAUUAAAAAGAGGUGACAAGAAUAUACAGAAGAAUUAUACAAAGAAGAUCUUAUUAACCCAAAUAACCAUGAUGGUGUGAUCACUCCCCUAGAGCCAGACAUCUUGGAGUGCGAAAUCAAGUUGGGCUUAAGAAGCAUCACUACGAACAAAGCUGGUAGAGGUGACAGAAUUUCAGCUGAGCUCUUUCAAAUCCUAAAAGAUGAUGCUGUGAAAAUGCUGCACUCACUAUGCCAGCAAAUUUGGAAAAUUCAGCAGUGGCCACAGGACUGGGAAAGGUCAGUUUUCAUUCCAAUCCUAAAAAAAGGGCAAUGCCUGAGAAUAUUCAAACUACUGCACAGUUGCACUCAUUUCACACACUAGCAACGUAAUGCUCAAAAUUGUUCAAGCUAGGCAUCAACAGUACACGAACUGAGAACUUCCCUAUGUUCAAGCUGGAUUUAGGAAAGGCAAGGGGCCAGAAAUCAAAUUGCCAACAUCCCUUGGAUCAUAGAAAAAGUAAGAGAAUUCCAGAAAAACAAAACAAAACAAAACAAAACAUUUACUUCUGCUUCAUUGACUACGCUAAAGCCUUUGAAUGUCUGGACCACAACAAACUGGACAAUUCUUAAAGAGAUAGAAAUACCAGACCACCUUAGCUGCCUCCUGAGAAAUCUCUAUACAGGUUAAGAAGCAACAAUUAGAAUCAUGCAUUGAACAACAGACUGGUUCAAAAUUCAGAAAGGAGUACAACAAGGCUGUAUAUUGUCACUCUGCUUGUUUAACUUAUAUGCAGAGUACACCAUGUGAAGUGCUGGACUGGAUAAAGCACAAGCUAGAAUCAAGUUUGCCAGGAGAAAUAUCAAUAACCUCAGAUAUGCAGAUGACAUCAACGCUUAUGGGAGAGAGCAAGAGGAACUAAAGAGCCUCUUGAUGAAAGUGAAAGAGGAGAGUGAAAAAGCUGGCUUGAAACUCAAUAUUCAAAAAACUAAGAUCAUGGCAUCCGGUCCCAUCACUUCAUGGCAAAUAGAUGGGAAAACAAUGGAAACCAGGACAGUCUUUAUUUUCUUGGGCUCCAAAAUCACUGCAGAUGGUGACUGCAGCCAUGAAAUUAAAAGACACUUGUUUUUUGGAAGAAAAGCUAUGACAAACCUAGACAGUGUAUUAAAAAGCAGAGACAUUACUUUGCCGACAGAGGUCCAUUUUGUCAAAGCUAUGGCUUUUCCAGUAGUCAUAUAUGGAUGUGAGAGUUGGACCAUAAAGAAGGCUGAGCACUGAAGAAUUGAUGCUUUUGAACUGUGGUGUUGGAAAAAAACUCUUGAAAGUCCCUUGGACUGCAAGGAGAUCUAACCAGUCAAUCCUAAAGAAAAUCAAUCCUGAAUAUUCAUUGGGAGGACUGAUGCUGAAGCUGAAUCUCCAAUACUUUGACCACCUGAUGGGAAGAGCUGACUCAUUGGACAAGACCCUGAUGCUGGAAAUGAUUGAAGGCAGGAUGAGAAGGCGAUGACAGAGGAUGAGAUGGUUGGAUGGCAUCACUGACUCAAUGGACUUGAGUUUGAGCAAGCUCCAGGAGGUGGCAAAGGACAGGGAAGCCUGGUGUGCUGCAAUCCAUAGGGUCACAAAUAGACACAACUGUGUGACUGAACAAGAUUUUUAUAUCCGCCCCUGGUCCGGGAACCAAUCACCUGUGUGUACACAGAGACAACUGUAAUCACAUAUACCCAUCAUUCCAACAUCAUUAUUUUAAAAUGAUGAUUACCUCUAGCUGAAGGACAGAGCCAGUUAUAGUAGCUAAUGAUUGCUACUUCACUCAAAAUACCCUUCUAUCUUCUCCCAUGAGAAGAUUAUAGACUUUACUGAUUGUAUACUGGUUUCAGCUUAUCUGACUGUCAUCAGUAAUGAAAAGUGGCUGCACCAGUUAUGUAUGGUAAUUCCAAGCUAAAGAGGCUGUUGAAUGAUGCAUUUGUUUCCCAUCACGGUACCUAGCAUGGCACUAUAGGAAGGCAGAGUUUGUUAUUCCCUCAUACAUCAAAGUCUGCUUGCCAGUGUUAUAUUUAUUGACCUGUCCAACUCCUUUUCCAUGACUGAUUACUUUUGCCACCCAAAGGUUUUCCCUGUUGCCCUGUCUUAGCAAAAUUUCUCAACAAAGCUUUGAAAAUUAAAAGUCCCCUCUACUCUUUCCCUGGGAAAACUCUUGUUUUCACAGGCACAAGGGGCACUUAGAACUGUGGCAGAUGUUACUUUUGGUACCCAACCUUCCUCUUUCCUUUAUUACCAAAGGAAGGAAUCCACCUUCAUAUUUAAUUUUCUAGGCUUAUUGACAAUCAGUAGUUUUGUGGUCUAAUUCUGAGCAAAUGAACAUAACAAGCACUUCAUUGACUGGAGCUUACAGAAAACUAUUGUUUUCCUCAUAAAAAAAGACAAAUCACUCAACAUUUAUGUUUGCCUUUCACUGGUCCUAGUUUUUUCCUGAAUGUAAUAUAUUAUACUAGAAAGCAACUUUGUGAAUUUGAAAAGGGAACUAUUCAGUAAAGGUGCUGAUGCCUGGGUCCCUCUGGCAUUUCUUAGAGACAAACUACCAGCUCUGAGCUGGUUACCUCUGAACUUCGUACCUGAGAAAAAUUGCUCCCUGUUACAUUUCAGCCAGUUGGAUUUAUUUGGGUUUUCUGUUAUAGAUGAAUGCAAUACUAAAGGAGUUUACAGAUCUAGAGUGUAGGUGCAGCCAUUCCAGAAUAGCUGGGCUUUGUGAUGAUGAUCAGGGUAAUGAUUUUGUCUAAUAAUCAUUUUCAGGUUGAAAUAUUCUAAGAAUUAUAACUUAUAGGCUUUAGAUUAAUAAAAUUAUAUGUGUAGAAGGACAAGGUCUGUUUUCCUCUUUUCUUGUGCAGUUAAAUUUUGCCAAAGUCUGAUAUUUUUAUGUAGAUGGCAUAGAGAUCAUCAGGCCUACCUAGCUUCAACGUGAUACUAACAUAGUGUGCUGUGUUUUUCCACUUCAGGGCCCAUGUCACUCUCUGGCUAUGAUUUAAUCUGCAGAGAGGUCCAUCUUGGUGAGUUCCAGAGUGUGAAUAGGAAAAAGAAAUAGACAAUAAACUGUUGACUUUCCCAGUUUGGGAACACAAAUUAAUAAAUCUCAGAAACAUAGGGAGAUAUACAAAUAAGCUCAAAAUAGAUUAAAAACCUAAACGUGAGUCCAGGCUAGAGGAAAAAGGCAGAGCUCUUCUGACAUAAAUUGCAGCAAUAUAUUUUUCAAUCACUCUCCCAGAAUAAUAGAAAUAAAAACAAAAAUAAACAAAUGGGACCUAAUUAAACUCAAAAUCUUUUGCACAGCAAAGGAAACAAUGAAAAGACAACCCACAGAUUGGGAGAAAAUCUUUGCAAAUGAUGUGCUCAACAAGAGGUAAGUUAACAAAAUUUACAAACAGCUCAGGAGACUUAAUAUCAGCAAGAAAAACAACCUAAUCAAAAAAAUGGGCAGAAGAACUAAAUAUACAUUUCUCCAAAGAAGGCAUAUAGAUGGCCAACAGGCACAUGAAAAGAUGUUGAACAUCACUAAUUUUUAGAGAAAUGCAAAUCAAAACUACAAUGAGGUAUCACCUCACACCAGUCAGAAAGACCAUAAUGAAAAAAAAAAAUAUCCACAAACAACAAAUGCUAGAGGUGUGGAGAAAAGGCAAUGCUCCUACACUGUUGGUGGGAAUAUAAAUUGGUGCAGCCACUAUGGAAAACAGUAUGGAGAUUUAUUUAAGAACUAAAAAUAGAGCCACCAUAUGACCCUGCAAUCCCACUCCUGGACAUAUAUACAGAAAACAAAACCUGAUCCAAAAGGAUACAUGCAUCCCAGUGUUCACUGUAGCACUGUUUACAGUAGAAAGACAUGGAAGCAACCCAAAUGCUCAUCCACAGGAGAAUGGGUAAAGAAGAUGUGGUGUGUAUAUAUAAUGGAAUAUUACUCAGCCAUUGAAAAGAAUGAAAUAAUGCCAUUUGCAACAACAUGGAUGGACCUAGAGAGUGUCGUACGAGUGAAGUAAGUCAGAAAGAGGAGAAAUAUCGUAUGACAUCCCUUAUAUGUGGAAUCUAAAAAGAGAUGACAUAAAUUAACUUAUUUACAAAACAGAAACAGAUUCAUAGACUUAGAGAAUGAACUUAUAGUUGCCAGGGGUGAAGAUAGGGAAAGGGAUAGUCAGGGAGUUUGAGAUCAACAUGUACACACUGCUAUGUUUAAAAUGGAUAAACAACAAGGACCUACAUUAUAGCACAUGGAACUCUGCUCAGUGUUAUAUGGAGCCUAGACAGGAGAGGAGUUUGAGGGAGAGGAUACAUGUAUACGUUUGGCUGAGUCCCUUUGCUAUCCACCUGAACUAUCACAACACUGUUUAUCAACUAUACUUUAAUAUAAAAUAAAAAGUUUUAAAAGACAUAUAUCUUUAUUUUUCUACUCAUAAAUAUCCCCAAAGGAUAUUUUCUGAUUCUGACAUCUCAAAAGUAACUAUAACAAAUUUUCUCUAUUAAUUGCUUGUAUUAAUAUUGAUAAGGAAAGGUACUCCUAUCCAUUUCAUUACAUUCCUGAAAGUAACAUUAAUUAUAUUUGGAAUUAUUCAAGGAUGUGGAUCACUCAAUAUCCAUGUAUAAUUUAGAAAUGAUGAUCUUCUGAAUUUCCUUUUAAGAUUUAUAGAAAAAUGAUCUUUGUUCAACCUAGAAGAAUAUUUUUCCUACACAGUUUCUGGAGAAUAACUGAUAUAUUAAUAAUAAUAAAAUGCAACCAAUCAGAUAAUUCAGCCUUUAUAAAUAACCAGUCUCUGAAACCUAAAUCUGUUAGAGGGAGUCAUCACUUAUAAACUACUGCAUAGUCCAUAUCUUCUUAGUAAUAAAUAUGAACACUCAAAUAGAUUGGCUCCAAAUAGAAGUAACUAAAAAGGAAAAAUAAACACCGUAAUGGGAGCACAAAACCAUAUAAGACAUACAAUAAAAUAAUUUGUUGAUUCUAAGCAUGUCUCCCGGGAGUUUUGCAUUUCUAUAAAUGGCUAUUAUAGGACAGACUCUAGACAAACUUAUGAGGUACAUGAAAUUUGCAUUUGAUUGCUCUCAAUUUCUCCCCCGUUAGAUGCUGAUGUCUUUCUACUUCCCUUACAUAUUCAAAACCUGAAACCCAGUCUGUUUUCACACUGAUUUUUUAACACAAUCUUAUAAAUCCCUCAUUCCAGUUAAGGUAAAAAUGUUUGUUCACAUCUAAAAUCUUACUUUUCUGAGGGUAUUUGAAGAUUUAGAAUGAAAUGGAGGAAACAACCCUGAAGUUGCUCUACUCCAGCAAAGAUUUAAAUAGUCAUUUAAAUAUUAAAGAGAGAAUAAAGGCAGGGAGGAUCUUUUGCUAGUAUGAUGCUUAUUAUUCAACACUGAGAGAAACUGAGAGAUUUUACUCAGUGUCCACAUAAAUAUUAUCUGUUUCAGGUAUUUAUUGUUGUUUAACAAACUGCCUUCAAACUUGGAAGUUUAACCCAAUUUAUUAUUGUUUUUUCAUGACUCUGCUGUUGGCUGGGCAUACCCAACUGAUUUUGUCUUAGGGACUCUUAUGCAAUGUUGAGCUGAGGCUGAAGUCAUCCAAAGGCUUAAACUGGGCUGCAUGUGUCCAAUGGGUCACCAAUUCAGCUGGUGAUCAAUGAUGGCUGUCCACUAGGAUCUUAGAUGGUGACUGCAGCUAUGAAAUUAAAAGAUAUAUGCUCCUUGAAGGAAAAUGACCAACCUGGACAGUGUAUUAAAAAGCAGAGACAUUACUUUGACAACAAAGGUCUGUCUAGUCAAAGUGAAGUCGCUCAGUCAUGUCCGACUCUUUGUGACCCCAUGGACUGUAGCCUUCCAGGCUCCUAUGUCCAUGGGAUUUUCUAGGCAAUAUACUGGAGUGGAUUGCCAUUUCCUUCUGCAGGGGAUCUUCCCAACCCAGGGAUUGAACCUGGGUCUCUUCCAGUAGUCAUGUAUAGAUGUGAAAGCUGGGCCAUAAAGAAGGCUGAGCACCAAAGAAUUGAUGCUUUUGAACUGUGGUGUUGGAGAAAACUCUUGAGAGGCCCCUGGACUGCAAAGAGAUAAAACAAGUCAGUCCUAAAGGACAUCAACCCCGAGUAUUCAUUGGAAGGACUGAUGCUGAAGCUGAAGCUCCAAUACUUUGGCUACCUGAUGGGAAGAGCCAACUCAUCAGAAAAGACUCUGAUACUGGGAAAGAUUGAAGGCAGGAGAAGAAGACAACAGAGGAUGAGAUGGUUGGAUUGCAACACUGAUUCAAUGGACAUAAGUUUGAGCAAGCUCCAGGAAACGGUGAAGAAGAGGGAAGCCUGGCGUGUGCUGCAAUACAUGGGGUGGCAAAAAGUCAGACACAAAUAAGCAACUGAAC